ensembl:misc_RNA Y_RNA Y RNA
GGUCCGAGCGCAGUGGUGUUUGCAACUAGCUGAUCACAACCAGUUACUGAUGUUAUUGUGCCUUCUCCACUCCCACUGCUUCUCUUACCUUUA